GGAAACCCUCUAAGGUUACCAAAUCACCGAAUUUGGGAUUGACUCCUUCCAGCUGCUCUAAGCUCUUUGCUGGUUCGCCUCAAUGUACCCAAAAAAAAUCAAGUGUUGUUGACUUGGGAGCUGAUGAAGAUGCUAAGUGUCCUCUCCUCAAGAGAAAGUCUGCUGAUGCUGUGGUGGAUAAGUUAAAUGAAGUGGAUAGUUCUAAAAAUUCAUGUGAUGAAGUUGAUGAAAGUGAAGAGGAGUAUGUGGUUGGCGUUAAUCGAGGUUCUGUUG